GCAAGUCGAGGGGUAACAGGUAGCUUGCUAUGCUGACGACCGGCGCACGGGUGCGUAACGCGUAUAGAAUCUGCCUUCUACAGAGGGAUAGCCUUUAGAAAUGAAGAUUAAUACCUCAUAAUACUGAUUAGUAGCAUUACUAUUUAGUUAAAGAUUUAUCGGUAGAAGAUGACUAUGCGUCCUAUUAACUAGAUGGUAAGGUAACGGCUUACCAUGGCGACGAUAGGUAGGGGGCCUGAGAGGGGGAGC
rnacentral:rRNA from 1 species